GAGGAAGCAGACACACCAGUGUCCCCUACACGCUGAGCCUUAUGACAGGUCACAGGAGAAGCCAGGAAGACCCUAGGACAGACAUGAGCUGAGAGCUCACAGAGAAGAGACAAAGUUUACAAACAGCCAAGAAUCAUAACAGAAGUCCCAAGGAUCCAAUUGCAUAUCAGAUGAACACUCUCCUUUCCCAAGAAGCGAUGACUCAUGGUGGAAGCCUGGGACACCAGACUUCAGAAGUGUGAGCGUGGCAGUGUGCCAGCAGGAAGGUGUUGCAGGAACAUCCAAGUCAACCCAAGGAAGCCCUCAGCUGAAGAUGAUCUUUAACUUUUGAUUCUCCUGCUUCUACUGUCCUGGCUCUUUGGCCCGCCCAGGUCUUU
ensembl:antisense Gm16341 predicted gene 16341